CGCACCAUGGCUAGUGGUAUCAUUCUUGCUUCGGGUGCGAGAGGUCCCGGGUUCAAAUCCUGGAAGUGUCC